rnacentral:misc_RNA from 1 species
AAACACACAAACAGCCUCAGUGGGUCAUUGUGAUGCUGUCUGUCCUUGUGUGUUCAGUUACAAACUGUAUUGCUACAACGGUCUAAGAUCUUCCAAAGUUUGUUAAUCUGUUCAUCAUGAAGUACGUGUUGUCACUCUGUAUUUUCAGUGCCUUUUUCAUGAACCUCGCACACUGCGACUGCACCACAACAUGCACGAAUUCUCUUCAAUCGGCUGUCAGAGGAGUCAGAAGUCAAGAUCAGAUCUGCCCUCUUAUACGGACUUAUCUGAAUUGUCUUGAGGAGACUUGCAAGGUAGAGCUGUCGUCAUAUUACCCAUUGCUGGAAAAACUUAUGAAGGAUAAUGGCGUUUCUUGUAGUUUAAACGCCGCCUCAAGGUCUGUGUCCCUCAACCUCCUCACUGUGUGUGGCUCCGUGCUCUUGACUGCUUACACAAUCUUCAGUAUGUGAUCCUCUCAGUCUGAAUGUUUAGCUCAACUCUAUACAGCAGCUUUCAACAAUUGACAUCUAAAUCAAAUGUGUGGUGGUCACAAUUGUGAAAAACAGUUAAGCCAAAGAAGCCAACAUAUCAUACUUGAUACUUAUAUGAAGAAAGUCUUUAAGCAAGCACAUGCCAUGACUGAAUGUAGAGCCUUGUUCAGCGAAAUAUCUUUCUAUUUCUUCGCUUACCAUUGAUGACUGACGAGGUGAGUUGUUUUGUAGUCGAAACAACCAGAAUCAGAACCUUGUGAAUGGUUUGAAUAUUUUUAUAGGACAUAUAGGAUUUUAUUAUAUAUUUUUAUACCUUGUAUUCUCAAUUUUUGUUCAAACUUCUAGAAUGAGUCAGUUUGAAUCGUGUGGAUAUUUUCAUAAAAUUUAUCGAAACCACA